GCCGAUUUAGCUCAGUCGGUAGAGCAACGCAUUCGUAAUGCGUAGGUCAUCAGUUCGAUUCUGAUAAUCGGCACCA
rnacentral:tRNA from 1 species